UACGUAGGUGGCAAGCGUUAUCCGGAAUUAUUGGGCGUAAAGCGCGCGCAGGCGGUUUCUUAAGUCUGAUGUGAAAGCCCACGGCUCAACCGUGGAGGGUCAUUGGAAACUGGGGAACUUGAGUGCAGAAGAGAAAAGCGGAAUUCCACGUGUAGCGGUGAAAUGCGUAGAGAUGUGGAGGAACACCAGUGGCGAAGGCGGCCCGCUGGGAUACUUGCUGACGCUGAGGCGCGACAGCGUGGGGAGCAAACAGG
rnacentral:rRNA from 1 species